AUACUUACCUGGCAGGGGAGAUACCAUGAUCACGAAGGUGGUUUUCCCAGGGCGAGGCUUAUCCAUUGCACUCCGGAUGUGCUGACCCCUGUGAUUUCCCCAAAUGUGGGAAACUCGACUGCAUAAUUUGUGGUAGUGGGGGACUGCGUUCGCGCUUUCCCCUG
ensembl:snRNA U1 U1 spliceosomal RNA